UACGUAGGGUGCAAGCGUUGUCCGGAAUUAUUGGGCGUAAAGAGCUCGUAGGCGGCUAAGCAAGUCGGGUGGGAAAUCUCCAGGCUCAACCUGGAGCCUUCGCUCGAUACUGCUUAGCUCGAGUCCGGUAGAGGAGUGUGGAAUUCCCGGUGUAGCGGUGAAAUGCGCAGAUAUCGGGAGGACACCGACGGCGAAGGCAGCACUCUGGGCCGGUACUGACGCUGAGGUGCGAAAGCGUGGGAGCAACAGGAUA
rnacentral:rRNA from 1 species